rnacentral:rRNA from 1 species
GACGAACGCUGUCGGCGUGCUUAACACAUGCAAGUCGAACGGAAAGGCCUGCUUUCCCUUGUGGAUUGCGGGUACUCGAGUGGCGAACGGGUGAGUAACACGUGAGUGAUCUGCCCCCAACUUGGGUAUAAGCCUGGGAAACUGGGUCUAAUUCCCGAUAGGACUGCAGGGUGGUGCCUGUGGUGGAAAACGAUUUUCUAGUGGUUGGGGAUGAGCUCGCGGCCUAUCAGCUUGUUGGUGGGGUAAUGGCCUACCAAGGCGGCGACGGGUAGCCGGCCUGAGAGGGUGGACGGCCACAUUGGGACUGAGAUACGGCCCAGACUCCUACGGGAGGCAGCAGUGGGGAAUAUUGCACAAUGGGCGGAAGCCUGAUGCAGCGACGCCGCGUGGGGGAUGACGGCCUUCGGGUUGUAAACUCCUUUCGACCGCGAGGAAGCCACCUGGUUGGAAGGGUGGUGACGGUAGUGGUAGAAGAAGCACCGGCUAACUACGUG